GGGGAAUAUUGCGCAAUGGGCGAAAGCCUGACGCAGCGACGCCGCGUGAGGGAUGAAGGUUUUCGGAUCGUAAACCUCUGUCAGAAGGGAAGAAACCGCACCGUGCUAAUCAGCGGUGCCUUGACGGUACCUUCAAAGGAAGCACCGGCUAACUCCGUGCCAGCAGCCGCGGUAAUACGGAGGGUGCAAGCGUUAAUCGGAAUUACUGGGCGUAAAGCGCACGUAGGCGGACUUUUAAGUCAGGGGUGAAAUCCCGGGGCUCAACCCCGGAACUGCCUUUGAUACUGGAAGUCUUGAGUAUGGUAGAGGUGAGUGGAAUUCCGAGUGUAGAGGUGAAAUUCGUAGAUAUUCGGAGGAACACCAGUGGCGAAGGCGGCUCACUGGACCAUUACUGACGCUGAGGUGCGAAAGCGUGGGGAGCAAACA
rnacentral:rRNA from 1 species